rnacentral:rRNA from 1 species
CCUACGGGAGGCAGCAGUGGGGAAUAUUGCACAAUGGGGGAAACCCUGAUGCAGCGACGCCGCGUGAGUGAAGAAGUAAUUCGUUAUGUAAAGCUCUAUCAGCAGGGAAGAAAAUGACGGUACCUGAGUAAGAAGCCCCGGCUAACUACGUGCCACCAGCCGCGGUAAUACGUAGGGGGCCAGCGUUAUACGGAUUUAAUGGGUGUAAAGGGAGUGUAGACGGCAGUGCAAGUCUGGAGUGAAAGGCUGGGGCUCAACCCCCGGACUGCUCUGGAAACUGUACGGCUGGAGUGCAGGAGAGGUAAGUGGAAUUCCUAGUGUAGCGGUGAAAUGCGUAGAUAUUAGGAGGAACACCAGUGGCGAAGGCGGCUUACUGGACUGUAACUGACGUUGAGGCUCGAAAGCGUGGGGAGCAAACAGGAUUAGAUACCCCAGUAGUC